AGCGUACACGGUGGAUGCCCUGGCAGUCAGAGGCGAUGAAGGACGUGCUAAUCUGCGAUAAGCGUCGGUAAGGUGAUAUGAACCGUUAUAACCGGCGAUUUCCGAAUGGGGAAACCCAGUGUGAUUCGUCACACUAUCAUUAACUGAAUCCAUAGGUUAAUGAGGCGAACCGGGGGAACUGAAACAUCUAAGUACCCCGAGGAAAAGAAAUCAACCGAGAUUCCCCCAGUAGCGGCGAGCGAACGGGGAGCAGCCCAGAGCCUGAAUCAGUGUGUGUGUUAGUGGAAGCGUCUGGAAAGGCGCGCGAUACAGGGUGACAGCCCCGUACACAAAAAUGCACAUGCUGUGAGCUCGAUGAGUAGGGCGGGACACGUGGUAUCCUGUCUGAAUAUGGGGGGACCAUCCUCCAAGGCUAAAUACUCCUGACUGACCGAUAGUGAACCAGUACCGUGAGGGAAAGGCGAAAAGAACCCCGGCGAGGGGAGUGAAAAAGAACCUGAAACCGUGUACGUACAAGCAGUGGGAGCACAGAGCAAUCUGUGUGACUGCGUACCUUUUGUAUAAUGGGUCAGCGACUUAUAUUCUGUAGCAAGGUUAACCGAAUAGGGGAGCCGAAGGGAAACCGAGUCUUAACUGGGCGUUAAGUUGCAGGGUAUAGACCCGAAACCCGGUGAUCUAGCCAUGGGCAGGUUGAAGGUUGGGUAACACUAACUGGAGGACCGAACCGACUAAUGUUGAAAAAUUAGCGGAUGACUUGUGGCUGGGGGUGAAAGGCCAAUCAAACCGGGAGAUAGCUGGUUCUCCCCGAAAGCUAUUUAGGUAGCGCCUCGUGAAUUCAUCUCCGGGGGUAGAGCACUGUUUCGGCAAGGGGGUCAUCCCGACUUACCAACCCGAUGCAAACUACGAAUACCGGAGAAUGUUAUCACGGGAGACACACGGCGGGUGCUAACGUCCGUCGUGAAGAGGGAAACAACCCAGACCGCCAGCUAAGGUCCCAAAGUCAUGGUUAAGUGGGAAACGAUGUGGGAAGGCCCAGACAGCCAGGAUGUUGGCUUAGAAGCAGCCAUCAUUUAAAGAAAGCGUAAUAGCUCACUGGUCGAGUCGGCCUGCGCGGAAGAUGUAACGGGGCUAAACCAUGCACCGAAGCUGCGGCAGCGACGCUGAUGCGUUGUUGGGUAGGGGAGCGUUCUGUAAGCCUGCGAAGGUGUGCUGUGAGGCAUGCUGGAGGUAUCAGAAGUGCGAAUGCUGACAUAAGUAACGAUAAAGCGGGUGAAAAGCCCGCUCGCCGGAAGACCAAGGGUUCCUGUCCAACGUUAAUCGGGGCAGGGUGAGUCGACCCCUAAGGCGAGGCCGAAAGGCGUAGUCGAUGGGAAACAGGUUAAUAUUCCUGUACUUGGUGUUACUGCGAAGGGGGGACGGAGAAGGCUAUGUUGGCCGGGCGACGGUUGUCCCGGUUUAAGCGUGUAGGCUGGUUUUCCAGGCAAAUCCGGAAAAUCAAGGCUGAGGCGUGAUGACGAGGCACUACGGUGCUGAAGCAACAAAUGCCCUGCUUCCAGGAAAAGCCUCUAAGCAUCAGGUAACAUCAAAUCGUACCCCAAACCGACACAGGUGGUCAGGUAGAGAAUACCAAGGCGCUUGAGAGAACUCGGGUGAAGGAACUAGGCAAAAUGGUGCCGUAACUUCGGGAGAAGGCACGCUGAUAUGUAGGUGAAGUCCCUCGCGGAUGGAGCUGAAAUCAGUCGAAGAUACCAGCUGGCUGCAACUGUUUAUUAAAAACACAGCACUGUGCAAACACGAAAGUGGACGUAUACGGUGUGACGCCUGCCCGGUGCCGGAAGGUUAAUUGAUGGGGUUAGCGCAAGCGAAGCUCUUGAUCGAAGCCCCGGUAAACGGCGGCCGUAACUAUAACGGUCCUAAGGUAGCGAAAUUCCUUGUCGGGUAAGUUCCGACCUGCACGAAUGGCGUAAUGAUGGCCAGGCUGUCUCCACCCGAGACUCAGUGAAAUUGAACUCGCUGUGAAGAUGCAGUGUACCCGCGGCAAGACGGAAAGACCCCGUGAACCUUUACUAUAGCUUGACACUGAACAUUGAGCCUUGAUGUGUAGGAUAGGUGGGAGGCUUUGAAGUGUGGACGCCAGUCUGCAUGGAGCCGACCUUGAAAUACCACCCUUUAAUGUUUGAUGUUCUAACGUGGACCCGUAAUCCGGGUUGCGGACAGUGUCUGGUGGGUAGUUUGACUGGGGCGGUCUCCUCCUAAAGAGUAACGGAGGAGCACGAAGGUUGGCUAAUCCUGGUCGGACAUCAGGAGGUUAGUGCAAUGGCAUAAGCCAGCUUGACUGCGAGCGUGACGGCGCGAGCAGGUGCGAAAGCAGGUCAUAGUGAUCCGGUGGUUCUGAAUGGAAGGGCCAUCGCUCAACGGAUAAAAGGUACUCCGGGGAUAACAGGCUGAUACCGCCCAAGAGUUCAUAUCGACGGCGGUGUUUGGCACCUCGAUGUCGGCUCAUCACAUCCUGGGGCUGAAGUAGGUCCCAAGGGUAUGGCUGUUCGCCAUUUAAAGUGGUACGCGAGCUGGGUUUAGAACGUCGUGAGACAGUUCGGUCCCUAUCUGCCGUGGGCGCUGGAGAAUUGAGGGGGGCUGCUCCUAGUACGAGAGGACCGGAGUGGACGCAUCACUGGUGUUCGGGUUGUCAUGCCAAUGGCACUGCCCGGUAGCUAAAUGCGGAAGAGAUAAGUGCUGAAAGCAUCUAAGCACGAAACUUGCCCCGAGAUGAGUUCUCCCUGACUCCUUGA
rnacentral:rRNA from 1 species